AACGAACGCUGGCGGCAUGCCUAACACAUGCAAGUCGAACGAGACCUUCGGGUCUAGUGGCGCACGGGUGCGUAACGCGUGGGAACCUGCCCUUAGGUUCGGAAUAACUCCCCGAAAGGGGUGCUAAUACCGGAUAAUGUCUUCGGACCAAAGAUUUAUCGCCUUUGGAUGGGCCCGCGUUGGAUUAGCUAUUUGGUAGGGUAAAAGCCUACCAAGGCGACGAUCCAUAGCUGGUCUGAGAGGAUGAUCAGCCACACUGGGACUGAGACACGGCCCAGACUCCUACGGGAAGCAGCAGUGGGGAAUAUUGGACAAUGGGCGAAAGCCUGAUCCAGCAAUGCCGCGUGAGUGAUGAAGGCCUUAGGAUUGUAAAGCUCUUUUAACCGGGAUGAUAAUGACAGUACCGGGAGAAUAAGCUCCGGCUAACUCCGUG
rnacentral:rRNA from 1 species